rnacentral:rRNA from 1 species
CGGAGGGUGCAAGCGUUGUCCGGAUUUAUUGGGUUUAAAGGGUGCGUAGGUGGCCCGUUAAGUCCGGGGUGAAAGCCCACUGCUCAACAGUGGAACUGCCCUGGAUACUGGCGGGCUUGAGUCCAGACGAGGUUGGCGGAAUGGAUGGUGUAGCGGUGAAAUGCAUAGAUACCAUCCAGAACCCCGAUUGCGUAGGCAGCUGACUAGGCUGGUACUGACACUGAGGCACGAAAGCGUGGGGAGCGAACAGGAUU